rnacentral:lncRNA from 1 species
CAAUGAUAGGUGAUGCAAGCACCUAAUGAGAAACCAUAAUAGUUAGAUUACCCUAGACCCUCAAUUAACAUCAGAACCACACAUCACUUUGCAACAAGUAGGUAUAACUGCCCGACUAGAUUAAGAAACUGCCCAACCGAAAGAUGUAACUGACUAAUGGUUAGUUAAUUUUGGUCAAUAAGUACAAAUAAAUCCAAAGCACCCAGGGAGUGCAACCUAUUUACCUAAGCAUGCAAGACAACAAUGAAAACCGUCACGGAAAACCACAAAACUAUGUGAGCAUUGCUCUGAAAGGGACUCGUUAAAAUAGGUAUAAUGCUUUUGCACCCAAAAGUAUUAUACACACGUAUACACAGCUUUUUAUGUUUUUUUUCUUUUUUCGUACUUUACACAUUUUUGAGCAAAAAUGAAUAUAAAUGAAUAUUUCAGAAUUUUCAAGUGAGUUAAUUGAUUAAUUAAGAAUACGAUGAGCUUGAGAAAGAACUAUUAGAAUAAGUAGCCAACACAAACAUUUCCCAUAUUAUAUGGUCUUGUACUUAACUAACUAUGCCUCUGAGUGUAUUUAAGUAAAGACAUCAGAAACUGAUCUUUAAGUCUGACAUAGAACAGUAUACACUCUAAAGUCCAACCACACCAGAAAAUGGAGAAAUGAAUAACCCCCCAAAAUGUGUCUUUGGCCUUCAAAUAAACCACCAUUCCAUUCCUAAACUCAAAUUCACAUCCUUAAUUAAAACUGAGAACAUUAAGCAAUGAGAAACUACCUACGGUGCCAUUCAUUGUGAGGCAGAAGGAAAUCACCACAGGCAUUGCUCUAUCAUAAAGGCAGGAGAAACAUACGGCUUUUGGAAAAGCAUACACUUGUCACCGAUGAGACAGGAAACCAUGUUCCAAGUAUGUUUUUCAAUUGCGAACAUCUUUGCUUCAUCAGCGAAAUAUGCCAAAGUCUUUCACAUGAAUCCCCACCCCCACAUCCCCCCCAACAAAAAAAAACAAAAAAAAAGAAAAGGAAAUAUAUAAAAUCAUUAGAUUGGAGAGGUCGCCCAUGAAAUAUAUUUGACAGAUGCAAAGUGUACCUAUUAUUAAGUUUUCUUAAAUACAUUAUACUUUAGGGUAAGGCUAUGGUGUGUUAAUGCAUCUCAUGCAUCAACUUUAUCCUAAAGUUGUAAAAUGAUUCCUCAAAGUGGUAACAUUAGUCCUCAAAGUUGUAACAUGAGUCCUCAAAGUGGUAAUUGAGUCCUUAAAUUGGUAUUUUAUCACUUUAAGGACUCAAUUACCACUCUUUGAGGACACAUUUUACCACUUGAGAAGUAACAACAUCGUCUAAGGGAAUAAACCUAACAACACAUAAGAAUAUAAUUCCUUUUGGUUAGUGGUUCUACAGAUUCUUGGUGGAGUUUAAUAUCUUUGGCAUCAGUCAUUCGGAGUGAUACAAAUUACAUGUCAAUGGGUGAGACUCUGAAAUAAUGGUUAGAGGUUCAACACCACUCCAUAUAGAGACAUUUAUCUGGGCAAUAUUAUGUUUGCUUCAAUCAAUGUUUGAAAUUCAGAAAUGGACAGGGAAUGCUCUAUCAUGCGUCUCUUUCUUGUAUUGUUUCUUUUUCUUAAAACGCAUCCAUAAAUAUGUGCAAAACUUCAUUUCCACCCUUAGGAUUUUUUAUUUUGGAUAAUAUGAGGGACAUUGAGGUUGAGAAGAUUUUUUUUUUUUUUCUCCUAACUUUGAUUGAAAAUACUUCCCUCCUUCAAUAAUAGAUAAAAGGCAUUACAUACUUUCUCUUGUAAGUCUUCAGUACAUAAAUUGAUCAUCAUCUUCCAUCCUUUUCAAGGCAUCCUUCACAAUAUGGAAGGUUAAGUACCUCCUAGGUCUGUUACUUCUUGAAUAGAUGCCUACAGGAAAAGCAGUGACUUAAUCGUGGCUAAAGCCAAAUUUUGGGCCUUGCUUUUAGGAGUAUGUCGAUUUUGAUAUUAGCUGUAAUAUUUUCCUUCUGUAAAUGGAUCGAGAAGCAGCUAUUCUCAGGAAUUUAUCCUUUGAUUACUUCUGGUAGGUGCAUUUUUGCUUGGGUGUUUAGACGUACAUUGUUUCAUUCUCUGUUUUCAGAAUAUCACUGUCUGUUUUGUUUCAGUGUCAUUUGGUUUAGUAGAUUGUUGGUUCAUUUUCUUUGUAUUCUGCACCUACUUAUCUAAAGCAUCUCAGUUUCCUUUAAAAAAAAUAUUAUAAAAAUGAGGCUGGUACUGUAAUCAUUGUCUUUUUACAAGAACAUUAUAAGACUACCGCAAUACGUAUUAGAUAUAGAGUUUCACUAGUUUAUAUGUAUUGGAAGCACACCUACGAAAACAACAAGAUAUAUUACAAAUGAAGCUAUAAUACUUGAAGUUAACAUGCAGGCAAGUAAACAUGGAAAUCAACAGGUAUAUAACAAAUAUGUGUAUCUCGCUUGUCACGUCACUAACCGAUUGAUGAAAUUUUUUCUUGAAGAGGAUGAUUCACUUGAGAUUUUUCCGGGCAGCAUGCAAACAAAUUCAGUGGAACAAAGGAAAAUCUGCCACAGUUGAAUUUUAAGGAUUAAGCAUAUAAGUAUUAAAAGAAAAGAAAAAAAAUUGUAGCAGUGCAAGUCUUAUGUGAUAGCAGUGCAUCAUCUUAUGUGAGCAUUCAUAAUCAGCAGAAACAACUGCUCCUGGCAUCAACCAGCAACAGUUAGAUUUUUGUAAAAAUACAUUACUAUCUGAGUUCUAAGGAUGCCACCACAUAAGAAUAAGUUGUCCAAAAACAACUGUAUUCCUUUAUGCUUCUUGCCAGUGUCACACAAAAUGAUACUAAACCUUGGAAACCUAGUUACAUUACCUGAAGACAGCGGUACCAGUUCCAAAUGAAACCAAGUCCCCAUCUCUAAGUGAUGUUUCUUUAUUCGGCAAGUCAUGAAUCUUUUCCAUUGAUGUAAGGUUCUUGUUAAUGUAAGUUCCAUAUUUUGAGCAGUCUCUAAUUCGGACUUUGGAGGAUAAAACUGAAGAUUUAGUUUGCCGAGGGAGAGCUGAUACCAUUGAAUCAACAACUAUUUCUGCAUGAACCCUAGAAACUCCUUUGUCCUCUGCAAUAUUUACAUCACAACCUACAUUUACAUAAGGAGUCAAUAUAUGUAGAGAAAAUAAACAACUUUUGUAACAUAAGCAUGACUAGAAGGGAGAAGGAAAGCAAGACUAAUCAGUUAAGCAAAAAGCAAUUGAUACCCACAGGAGAAAAAAGAAAUGUGAUUGGUGAAAGAUCCAAGUUAGUUAAGUUGUUUCUUUGUUUUCUUUUUUAAUACCGAGAAAUCCCCACACUCUUUUGUAUAAAUAAAAUAAAAAAUAAAAACACUCUCUCUGCUUGUCACUGUCUACCCAAGAAACUAGAGAUGUAAUAUCUAGAACGGCGAAGUUUGACUAAUUUCCUUUCAGCAGUCGAGCUACUUCCUUCAAAACGUACUCAACAAAGAAGGAACUAGUGCAUAUCAAAUGUUGGUAAUAUAGAGUGUACAUACCUUUCCGACCCACUUUGUAAGUUCCUCUAGCAAAGAUAUAGUAUGUAUCCUCACCUGCCAUACAUUUUGUCAACUAAAUCAUUUCCAGCACAUUUAACAAAUUGUAAUAACCUAAAGCAUUACACUUGAUGCGCAAUGCCAAAUGUGCUUUAGCAGGGUAGAGAUACUUUACUCAUCACAUUUAACACAAUGAUUCGCAAGAACCUAACCUAACCUAUCCCAUGAAAAUUAUAAUUAACUAUUAAACUAUAACAGUAUUUAAUUUCUAUUCUAUUCCAAAACGUAUUUAACUAUCCCGGCUUGAAUCUGCAGACUCCGGCAGCCGUAGUAGAGAAUAAGUAAUCAUAAUAUCUCGGAUUAGUACAUUCAAUUUCCUGGUUUAUGGACUCUUUUUCCUACCGAGCAAAUAAACAAUACCUGAUAGGGGGUCGGCGGGGAAGAAACCCCAAACCAUGCUUUCCUUGCUGUUUUAACUUAAACAGAGACAGAGUCAGGGAGCGAGAAAUUGAUAAUGAAUUGCCGGUGCUCUAUAUUCAAUGAAUGAAGAAGCGGCUAUCAGACCCAAAACCAGUCCCAGCGUCGGGGGUAAGGUAGUUUGGAUCUGCUUUUAUAAACUUCUUUUUGUAAAAGGAAAACGAGAAACGGGACGGUCUACUUUUAUAAACUUCUUUUAUAUUUUAAAAAAUAUCCAUUUAGUAUUAAUUUAAACCCCUCAUUUCUCAUUUCAAUGACAAUCUUUUUUAUUAGCUCAUUUUAAUAUAAAGUAACAUUUUUAUGCCCAAAUGCACAAAUCUUUAUGCCCAAAUGCACAAAUCUUUAUACCCAAAUGUAUAAAUCUUUGGAAAAAAUGUGUCUUAGGGUAUAUAUACCUUGCAAGGUGGCGGUGUGUUAUUGGUCCACAUAGGCCAACCACUUAAAAAAAAGGGACAUACUUAACGAAUGUCUGUUAACUCUCUUUAACGGAUUUUUUAACAGACUUUUUCUUAAAUGGAUCUUUCUAACAGAAAAAGAAAAAAAAACUNNNNNNNNNNNNNNNNNNNNUCUCUCUCUCUCUCUCUCUCUCUCUCUCUCUCUCUCUCUCUCUCUCUCUCUCUCUCUCUCUCUCUCCCCUCACCAUCAUUGCCCGCCCUCCUCGUCCUUAGAAGGUAUCAAACGCCUAGCCGAAAACUUCCUGCCACCGGCCUGCUCUGGCUUGGGUGGGUCAACCGGACCUCACCUAGGUCACCGCCGCCGCCAUGACUCUAAGCUCCGACCACAUUGGGAUCGAGCUUUAUUUUCUCAGGCCGUCCCCAAUGAAAAGAGAGAGAGAAAGGGAGAUUGGGUUUGACGACCCUUCCGGGUUGACCCGUCGGUUUCGCCGCCCUCCUAUCGUCACUGGGCUCUCCACCGAUCGUGGUCGGGAUCGUCGUGGGUUGCCGGAGAAUAGCCAAAGCUUCUCCACCACGAUUCGGCGUCGCUAGUGGUUGCAUGCGAGAUUCAAGGGCUGGGCAAGGAAGAAGAAAAAGAGAGGAACAAUUUGUGGGUGGUUGUGGUGAUUGGUGGCAGGAGCUGGCAGGAAGGCGUCGGGAAGGCGUCUGGGCUCGAUUAGCGCUCAACUGAGCUCUUUGACCGGGUCAACAGUCUCCUCCCCAUUAUAAAGAAAACUGAUGGCUUAGAUUAAAAGGGAGAAGAGAUCAAUGACCCAGAUUAAAUUUCGAAAAUUGAAUUUAUUUAUCGAAACUUUGAUAAAUCAUAGUAAAUAACUCGAUGCUCCGAAAAAUAAUCCGAAGACGUCGGUGAACUCGUGUCGACGCGUACUUCGACACUAUGACCUUAAACCUUGAAUUUGACAUUUCAAGAAAAAACUCGAAUAUGAACAUGAACUUUAACUUUAAAAAUUACCAGUGUGGUUACUAACCCUUGUAACCCGAUGAAAACCCGAUAAAUUUCUACGGGGUUUCACAAUUAAAAUACGAUUUACGGUUUUUUGAGUCAAGAAGCACGUGUGGCCUCCUAAUUUUAUAGUUUAUGGCUUAUGAUGAGAUCAAUAGUUGAUCAGCUCUGGCAUAUACAAGGUAUAUGAUGAUCGAGUACGUACUAGUCACUCUUAGUGUAUAUAGGGUUUAUGAUGAUCGAGUACUAGCCCCUGUAUGUAUAGUUUGGAUUUAUGAUGAUCGAGUACUAGUCAACUCUCGUGUAUAUACGGUUUAGGGCUUAUAAAGAUUAAACAAUAAUCAGCUCUCGUGUAUAAUUGUAUAUAUGAUUUACGAUUUAUGACGAUCGACUAAUAGUCAGCUCUAGUGUAUACAUGAUAUAUGAUAAUCAAGCACUAGUCACCUCUAGUGUAUAUUGAGUUUAUGAUAAUCGAGUACAAAUCACCUCUCAUAUAUAUAUAUAUAUGGUUCAAGGUUUAUAAUGAACAAGAAAUAGUCACCUUUAGUGAAUAUAUGGUUUAGGGUUAAUAUAGACAAUUGCAAUGAACCUAUGUAAAAAGUUAGACAUGUUUAUGUCCUGAUCUAGGCAAUAAGUUAGACAUGUUUAUGUCUCGUUAGACAAGGUAUUAAUUACGCUUAUGCUCCCCAAAUAGAAACAUAAGCGUAAUUAAACUGAAAAGGCAAAAAUAGAUCAAGUUUCUAGCGUUCGAUCUUAAAGGUCAACUAAUUUAAUGCCUCCCACUUUCACAAAAAGGAAAACCAGCUGAAACCCUAAACCCUAAUUGUUAAACUGAAAGGACAAACACGUCAGUUCCUCACAUAGGUAAGAGUAUAUAAAUAAAAUGAAACCCUAGCUGCACUUAUUCUCCUCUCUUUUCCCCCUUGUGCAUUCCUCUCUACCUUUCUUCACUCUUUCCCCCUAUCUUGCCCCGAUCUCCGAUGUCCACCGGCGUCUGAGACGAGCUGAGCGUGCGGCUGGGGCUCACUGGCCACCACCAUUCAUCUCGUCUCUCUCUCCUCUACCUCCUCCUAAUCACCGAUUGACAUGCAUCCACCGCCUUCUCAAGAUUGAAAUCCAAACCCUAAAUCCCCAAAUCCAAUUUUCGGCCAAAUCUCUCCCUCUCCAGCAAACUCAUCCUCCGUGAAGGUAAACCUAUCACUUCUCUCUCGUUUUCACUCCUCCUUGAGCUUUGAUUUCCCUAAAUAAAGCCCUAAUCUGAUUUUCUUUUCUUUUGUAUUUCUGGGUUUUGGUCGAAGUUUUCCGGCGACUAUGUAAUAAGUUGACCAAGCGACUUCGUCGACCUCUAGGAAGUUCUAUCUUGUUCUAAUGGAGCCGAAGUACAUUUAGGUGGCGUUGUGGAAGUAGCGGCUGUGGUACUGGGUUGAGGCAGUGGCUUUCUAGCGAGGGGAGGAUCCAUGUUCUUAUGUUGAUUCUCCGAUUUGGUCUUGGUUAAGCGAGGAAGAGGUUCAAACGCAGUAUGGUUCAUUGAUUUGGUACUGUGUUGGUUCACAAGGGUAAGGAUUUCCAUUGUUUUGUUGCAAUGUCGUUGUUUUCUUGUGUGGUUUUGCUAUUGAUGGCUGAUUUGAGUGUUUUGGUUGCUUGUAUGUCGAGAACUUUGUGUUUUGAAGAAUACGGGGAGGUCGCCGGAACCUGUCAGAAUAUUCCGGCAAGUCUCUGGAAUUUGGCGGCCGAUUCCAGCAAAACAGCAAAUCCGACAAGGAGCAGAGAAGGUAAUGUUCGACUUUUCCUUACGAAUUGUGUCGUAAUCAUCGAUAAGAAAGUCAGGUCUUUGUGGGAAUUGGGUUGCUCUCUGGUUCAACAAUGUUGGUUCUUUCUCUAUUAUAGUAUAUGAUUUUUGGUUUUGGUUGUGUAAUAGAUUGAUGGAUAUGAGAUUGAAAAAUCUGGAUGGUUGUGUUAUUGUAGGUUGAUAUCUUUCAGAUGGUUAUUUGGCUAGAGCUCUUGUUCCCAGUGGUGCCUCCAUCGGUAAGUUUAGUGAAAAAGUUUAGUACAAUGUAUAGGUAUGUGUAUUGAAUAUAGUGGAAAAGUUGGUUUCUUUUGGUUAUUGGAUUUGCAUGUUUUUACUGGAUUCUUGAAUUUGAUUGCUUGAUCAUAGUUUGAUAUGUGUAUUGUUGAUUUUGCAUUGAAAGUUGUUUGUAGAAUUCGGAUGAUCGGAUGUGUGUACUUGUGUUUGAUGAUCUUACUUAACUGGUUAGCUUUCCUGAAAUUGCACUACUGAAGAGGUCUGAAAACCCUUCUCUUAAUUGAAUCAGAACCUCAUUGAAGUGAAGUAAAUCCAAGCUGGUUAUUUACAUUGCGUUGUGGUCGAGUGGACUAAUUUAUGUUAGUUUAAAUGUCAUAUGCAGGACUUGGUAUCUUGCACUUAUCUUUAUUGACCGCAUAAUUGAUAGUUUUUUUUUUGUAUUGUGCAUGACUGAUAGUUGAUGGUGUUGUUCUGUUUUUUCCAGGCAUUGAGUGUGCAAGCAUUCAAUGGAGCAUACAGAAUAAAUUAUGGAAGAAUUGCAGAUAACAUUCUCUGAAAAAGUUGCUACACUAAGAGCAGCAAAGAUAAAGAAUGUCAAGAUAUAUGACGCAGUUAAAAGCAUCUACAAUGCAACAAAGAUGUUAAAGUUAGAUGAUGUAGUUCAGAUAAAAGUAGGACACUUUCCGAGUCACCAUGUUAUAAGUGUAUCAUGAAACUAUUAGAUUUUACAAAUUAAAUAGGUAGACUUUGCUCACAAAAUGUACAGCCGCUAAACAAAUCAGGUACAUUCAUCUCCGUAAACAAAAUCAGGUACAUAAUCGACGUUCAUGUACAACCGCUAAACAAAAGAGGUACGUUCAUCUCCGUAAACACAUAGACCUCUUCUCUAACAAAACACGUAAACCUUUACUCAGAAAUAAGCAGACUAUGCAUUGUAAGAACGUACCCCUCUCAUGCAAGAGUGAGUCUAGGAAUUCUCGACCUUUACUCGGAAACAAGCAAACUAUUCUUCUAAUGAAAAUAGUAGACUCGGCAUAUUAAAUGAGUAGACAUUACUUGCAAAAUUUUGCCUCACAAAAAAGUAGACAUUACUCGUAAAUAAGCAGACUAGACUUCGUGAACAUGUAGACCUCUCAAGAAUUCUUCAAGUGUCUGUGAAUUCUAGACACUUUAGAGUUGGUCUACACGUAGUAUGAGUCAAUGAUUCAAAAACCUUGUACACCAUCUUCACAAAACAUGUAGGUUAGUAUUCGUAAACAUGUAGACCAUUUUGUCUCACAAAAAAAAUAGACCCUUACUCAUAAAUAAACAGACCAGGCUUCGUAAACAGGUAGACCUCUCAAGAAUUCUUCAAGUGUGUGUGAAUUCUGGACACUUUAGAGUUGGUCUACGCGUAGAAUGAGUCAAUGAUUCGGAAACCUGGUAGACCAUGUUUACAAAACAGGUAGGUUUGUGUUCGUAAACAGGUAGACCAUUUUGUCUCACAAAAAAAGUAGAUCCGUACUCGUAAAUAAGCAGACCAGGUUUCGUAAACAGGUAGACCUCUUAAGAAUUCUUCAAGUGUCUGUGAAUUCUAGACACUUUAGAGAUGGUCUACACGUAGUGUGAGUCAAUGAUUCAAAAACCUAGUACACCAUUUUCACAAAACAUGUAGGUUUGUGUUCGUAAACAGGCAUAUCAUUUUGUCUCACAAAAAAAUAAGACAAUUUCUCGUAAAUAAGCAGACCAGACUUCGUAAACACGUAGACCUCUUAAGAAUUCUUCAAGUGUCUGUGAAUUCUGCACACUUUAGAGUUGGUCAACGCGUAGUAUGAGUCAAUGAUUCGAAAACCUAGUACACCAUGAUUACAAAACAGGUAGGUUAGUGUUUGUAAACAGGUAGACUAUUUUGCCUCAUAAAAAGUAGACCCGUACUCGUAAAUAAGCAGACCAGGCUUCGUAAACGUGUAUACCUCUUAAGAAUUCUUCAAGUGUCUGUGAAUUCUAGACACUUUAGAGUUGGUCUACGCGUAGUAUGAGUCAAUGAUUCAAAAACCUUGUACACCAUUUUCACAAAACAGGUAGGUUAGUGUUCGUAAACAGGUAGACCUUUUUGUCUCACAAAAAAAAUAGACAAUUUCUCGUAAAUAAGCAGACCAGACAUCGUAAACACGUAGACUUCUUCAGAAUUCUUCAAGUGUGUGUGAAUUCUGCACACUUUAGAGUUGGUCUACACGUAGUACGAGUCAAUGAUUCGAAAACCUAGUACACCAUGAUUACAAAACAGGUAGGUUAGUGUUCGUAAAUAGGUAGACUAUUUUGCCUCACAAAAAAAGUAGACCUUUUCUCGUAAAUAAGCAGACCAGGCUUCGUAAACAGGUAGACCUUUCAAGAAUUCUUCAAGUGUGUGAAUUCUGGACACUUUAGAGUUGGUCUACGCGUAGUGUCAGACAAUGAUUCGAAAACCUUGUACACCAUGUUUACAAAACAGGUAGGUUAGUGUUCUUAAACAUGUAGACCAUUUUAUCACACCGGUGUUCGGUACGCUCGGAAGGGUCGGCCAAGCAGAAGCGCCAGAGCGCGACACGCGAGACCUCCGCCUCCCAGGAGGAGG